rnacentral:rRNA from 1 species
UACGAAGGGGGCUAGCGUUGCUCGGAAUCACUGGGCGUAAAGCGCACGUAGGCGGCUUUCUAAGUCAGGGGUGAAAUCCUGGAGCUCAACUCCAGAACUGCCUUUGAUACUGGAGAGCUUGAGUCCGGGAGAGGUGAGUGGAACUCCGAGUGUAGAGGUGAAAUGCGCAGAUAUCAGGAAGAACACCAAUGGCGAAAGCAGCUCUCUGGGACGGUACUGACGCUGAGACGCGAAAGCGUGGGGAGCGAACAGG